UACGUAGGGGGCAAGCGUUGUCCGGAUUUAUUGGGCGUAAAGCGCUCGCAGGCGGUCCGAUGCGUCGUGCGUGAAAGCCCCCGGCUCAACUGGGGAGGGUCACGCGAUACUGAUCGACUCGAAGGCAGGAGAGGGAAGUGGAAUUCCCGGUGUAGUGGUGAAAUGCGUAGAUAUCGGGAGGAACACCAGUGGCGAAGGCGACUUCCUGGCCUGUUCUUGACGCUGAGGCGCGAAAGCUAGGGGAGCAAACGGG
rnacentral:rRNA from 1 species